UACGUAGGGGGCGAGCGUUGUCCGGAAUUAUUGGGCGUAAAGAGCGUGUAGGCGGUUCGGUAAGUCUGCCGUGAAAACCUGGGGCUCAACCCCGGGCGUGCGGUGGAUACUGCCGGGCUAGAGGGUGGUAGAGGCGAGUGGAAUUCCCGGUGUAGCGGUGAAAUUCGUAGAUAUCAGGAGGAACACCGGUGGCGAAGGCGGCUUUCUGGACGACAACUGACGCUGAGACGCGAAAGCGUGGGGAGCAAACAGG
rnacentral:rRNA from 1 species